rnacentral:rRNA from 1 species
UACGAAGGUGGCGAGCGUUGUUCGGAAUCACUGGGCUUAAAGCGCGUGUAGGCGGCCUUGUAAGCGUCUUGUGAAAUCCCCCGGCUCAACCGAGGAAUGGCUGGACGGACUGCAGGGCUUGAGGCAAGUAAGGGUGCAUGGAACUCUUGGUGGAGCGGUGAAAUGCGUAGAUAUCAAGAGGAACGCCGGUGGCGAAAGCGGUGCACUGGGCUUGUCCUGACGCUGAGAUGCGAAGGCUAGGGGAGCAAACGGG